AACGCACCUUGCGCUCCUGGGCUAUUCCUAGGAGCAUGCCUGUUUGAGUGUCGUGAAAUCAUCAACCCCAGUUGGAUUUGAAAUUUGACUGGUGGCUUGGACUUGGGGGUUUGCUGGCCGUUUUGAUUCGGUCUGGCUCCCCUUGAAUGUAUUAGCUGGUGCCUCUGGUUAACCAUCUAUUGGUGUGAUAAUUAUCUACGCCGUGGAUGUUAGCCGUCUUAUAGGUGCACUGCUUCUAACCGUCUGUUCAUUCGGACAAUCUCAUUGACAUUUUGACCUCAAAUCAGGUAGGACUACCCGCUGAACUUAA
rnacentral:rRNA from 1 species